GAGUUUGAUCCUGGCUCAGAUUGAACGCUGGCGGCAGGCUUAACACACGCAAGUCGAACGGUAACAUGAGUGCUUGCACUUGAUGACGAGUGGCGGACGGGUGAGUAAUGUAUGGGGAUCUGCCGAAUGGAGGGGGACAACAGUUGGAAACGACUGCUAAUACCGCAUAAAGUUGAGAGACCAAAGCAUGGGACCUUCGGGCCAUGCGCCAUUUGAUGAACCCAUAUGGGAUUAGCUAGUUGGUAGGGUAAUGGCUUACCAAGGCGACGAUCUCUAGCUGGUCUGAGAGGAUGACCAGCCACACUGGAACUGAGACACGGUCCAGACUCCUACGGGAGGCAGCAGUGGGGAAUAUUGCACAAUGGGGGGAACCCUGAUGCAGCCAUGCCGCGUGUAUGAAGAAGGCCUUCGGGUUGUAAAGUACUUUCGGUGAUGAGGAAGGUGACGUAUCUAAUAGGUAUGUUAAUUGACGUUAAUUACAGAAGAAGCACCGGCUAACUCCGUGCCAGCAGCCGCGGUAAUACGGAGGGUGCGAGCGUUAAUCGGAAUGACUGGGCGUAAAGGGCAUGUAGGCGGAUAAUUAAGUUAGGUGUGAAAGCCCUGGGCUCAACCUAGGAAUUGCACUUAAAACUGGUUAACUAGAGUAUUGUAGAGGAAGGUAGAAUUCCACGUGUAGCGGUGAAAUGCGUAGAGAUGUGGAGGAAUACCGGUGGCGAAGGCGGCCUUCUGGACAGAUACUGACGCUGAGAUGCGAAAGCGUGGGGAGCAAACAGGAUUAGAUACCCUGGUAGUCCACGCUGUAAACGAUGUCGAUUUGGAGUUUGUUGCCUUGAGUGAUGGGCUCCGAAGCUAACGCGAUAAAUCGACCGCCUGGGGAGUACGGCCGCAAGGUUAAAACUCAAAUGAAUUGACGGGGGCCCGCACAAGCGGUGGAGCAUGUGGUUUAAUUCGAUGCAACGCGAAGAACCUUACCUGGUCUUGACAUCCACAGAAUCUUGCAGAGAUGCGGGAGUGCCUUCGGGAACUGUGAGACAGGUGCUGCAUGGCUGUCGUCAGCUCGUGUUGUGAAAUGUUGGGUUAAGUCCCGCAACGAGCGCAACCCUUAUCCUUUGUUGCCAUCGGUUUGGCCGGGAACUCGAAGGAGACUGCCGUUGAUAAAGCGGAGGAAGGUGGGGACGACGUCAAGUCAUCAUGGCCCUUACGACCAGGGCUACACACGUGCUACAAUGGCGUAUACAAAGGGAGGCGA
rnacentral:rRNA from 1 species